rnacentral:tRNA from 1 species
GCGUCGGUGAUUCAGUGGUGGAAUGCUCGCCUGCCACGCGGGUGGCCCGGGUUCGAUUCCCGGCAGAAGCA